GACAGAGGGUGCAAACGUUGUUCGGAAUUACUGGGCGUAAAGCGCGUGUAGGCUGCUCGGAAAGUCGGGUGUGAAAGCCCUGGGCUCAACCUAGGAAGUGCACUCGAAACUUCCGAGCUGGAGUGCUGGAGAGGAAGGCGGAAUUCUCGGUGUAGAGGUGAAAUUCGUAGAUAUCGAGAGGAACACCGGUGGCGAAGGCGGCGACCUGGGUGGAUACUGACGCUGAGGCGCGAAAGCGUGGGGAGCAAACAGG
rnacentral:rRNA from 1 species